AUUGAACGCUGGCGGCAUGCCUUACACAUGCAAGUCGAACGGUAACAGGGUGCUUGCACCGCUGACGAGUGGCGAACGGGUGAGUAAUGCGUCGGAACGUGCCGAGUAGUGGGGGAUAACGCAGCGAAAGUUGUGCUAAUACCGCAUACGUACUGAGGUAGAAGGUGGGGGACCUUCGGGCCUCACGCUAUUCGAGCGGCCGACGUCUGGUUAGCUAGUAGGUGAGGUAAAGGCUCACCUAGGCGACGAUCAGUAGCGGGUCUGAGAGGAUGAUCCGCCACACUGGGACUGAGACACGGCCCAGACUCCUACGGGAGGCAGCAGUGGGGAAUUUUGGACAAUGGGCGAAAGCCUGAUCCAGCCACGCCGCGUGUCUGAAGAAGGCCUUCGGGUUGUAAAGGACUUUUGUCGGGGAGGAAAUCCCCAGCGUUAAUACCGCUGGGGGAUGACAGUACCUGAAGAAUAAGCACCGGCUAACUACGUGCCAGCCGCCGCAGUAACAC
rnacentral:rRNA from 1 species